AAACAGAUGACUUCUUGGAGAAGAGGGAAUAUUUUAAAAAAUCAGGAUUCUGGAUGGUUUAGAGAAUCACCAGGAAGUCAGGAACAAAGAGUUCCUGGGCAGCUGGCACCACAGUGCAGAUCAUGACAUGGAACACAGAGGAAUGGCUGCUGCCAUCUUUGACCAUGGGAUGCCACAUCUCGAAACACCAACUCUGCUGGUCCCCAGAGCCCAGAUACAGCUACUUGUGCUUCUAUCACCGUGUCCCUGGAAACAGAUGUUGCUGCUAUUACUGGAACUGCCAUAAAAGAUUCUCUGCUGCCUGGCUUUUUUGCUCCCCAAUCUGAGCUUAUGAUAAAUGCCUCACUGUUGCUGCAAGGAGGGGGCCAAUACCCAGGACAGUAAGCACUUGGCCUUUCUUCCAUUUCUACCGUGAAAGAUGGCUCUGCCUCCCACCCAAACUCAGAAAGCGGGGAAUUUCCCAAACAUUGGAAAACCUUCAGAUGUGGAGUGCCCUCCCACUAAAAACAUUCCCAUCACUGUCCACUUGCAUCAUUUAGUCCUAGCAUUUUAAAGAAGGUCCCCUUUAGGAACUGAUUUUGAAUCUUCAUAAAUGAUUUUCCUGCUCCUCUUGAGAUAAUCAUAUGGUUUCUCUUAUUUGACCCAUUGAUAUGUUCUAUAAACAGAUUUACUAAUAUUAAAACAGCUUUGCAUUCUUCGGUAAACCCUA
rnacentral:lncRNA from 10 species